rnacentral:rRNA from 1 species
UACGUAGGACCCAAGCGGUGUCCGGAUUUACUGGGCGUAAAGGGCGUGUAGGUGGGCGCUUAAGUCGAUGGUGAAAUCCUGCUGCUCAACCGUAGAAUUGCCGUCGAUACUGGGCGUCUUGAGUACGGCAGAGGGAGAUGGAAUUCAUGGUGUAGCGGUGAAAUGUGUAGAUAUCAUGAAGAACACCGGUAGCGAAGGCGGUCUCCUGGUCCGUUACUGACACUGAGGCGCGAAAGCGUGGGGAGCAAACAG